rnacentral:rRNA from 1 species
AUUGAACGCUGGCGGCAGGCCUAACACAUGCAAGUCGAACGAGCGGCGGACGGGUGAGUAAUGUAUGGGAAACUGCCCGAUGGAGGGGGAUAACUACUGGAAACGGUAGCUAAUACCGCAUACUAUCGGAUGUGCCCAGAUGGGAUUAGCUAGUAGGUGAGGUAAGGGCUCACCUAGGCGACGAUCCCUAGCUGGUCUGAGAGGAUGAUCAGCCACACUGGGACUGAGACACGGCCCAGACUCCUACGGGAGGCAGCAGUGGGGAAUAUUGCACAAUGGGCGCAAGCCUGAUGCAGCCAUGCCGCGUGUAUGAAGAAGGCCCUAGGGUUGUAAAGUACUUUUGGCAGAGAAGCGGUAUCUGCAGAAUAAGCACCGGCUAACUACGUGCCAGCAGCCGCGGUAAUAC